UAUGGUAUCCAGCAGCCGCGGUAAUACGUAUGGUGCAAGCGUUAUCCGGAUUUACUGGGUGUAAAGGGAGCGCAGGCGGUGCGGCAAGUCUGAUGUGAAAGCCCGGGGCUCAACCCCGGUACUGCAUUGGAAACUGUCGUACUAGAGUGUCGGAGGGGUAAGCGGAAUUCCUAGUGUAGCGGUGAAAUGCGUAGAUAUUAGGAGGAACACCAGUGGCGAAGGCGGCUUACUGGACGAUAACUGACGCUGAGGCUCGAAAGCGUGGGGAGCAAACAGG
rnacentral:rRNA from 1 species